UAUUUGAUAAAUGUUGGUAAAACAAAGAUAAAUCUCUAACACAGGCAAUUUAGAGAAAGAAGCCAAUUGAACCCUAACGCUAGUGAGAAUGAAGCACUCAGUCUCGUCAUCGACUCAUCGCUACCAGAGAACCCUAACGCCAGUCACCGGCCAUCACUUUCAUCUCUCGUCUCAACACCAGUCAACUCAAUCGUCACCGUCUCUUCUCUCAACUCAGUCACUAUCGUCGCUACAGGAAACUAUCGUCUCUCUAGUUUGAAGCUACAAGAAGAUGAUAAACAGGGUUGUUGAUGUAAGUUCUCAACCAACUCUUCAAUUUUUUAUUUUCAAUUUCAGUAUUAUUAUGAUAUUUUUGGAAAUUUCUCUAUGUUUUAUCACUUCUGUAUAUGAUGAACAGGGUUGUUUCAUAUACAUAUCGCUGGAUCUAGGGUAUCGUGAUUACUUUAGAUGUCUUCAGUUUUAGUUAAUGAUUUGUUUCGGAAAAUUUUGAUUGAAUUUAUCCAGUAUUUUUUUGUUUCUCCUUAAUGCUGUUUUCUAAUUUUUGUUCAUUUUGAUUUGAUUAGUGGUUUGAGCUCAAUGUAUUCUUUUGGCUGGAAAGAUGGGUGCAGCAUAUAUAUGUUCUUCCAAGUUUUUUUUUUUUGUUUGAAAAGUACGUGCUUCAAGUUACUUUUCUUAUUUUCUUUGGUUUGGUUUAUAUAUUGAUCAGGAGUUGUAGGUGUGUUUUUCAUUAGGCUUCUCAUCAGGAUGUUAGGAGUGAUAUAUUGUGAUUCUUGUACUGGUCUUGUGUUAUCCAAAAUUUCAUUUUUACAGGUUAUGCAGCUGUAUGCUCUGCUGCAACUGUCGUAGUUUAUGGGGCAGAGGUAGAGAAUUUCAAUAGCUUAUUUAUCAUAUGGGGGUAAUGCAGUAAGAGGAGAAACAAUGACUGAAGUUUUAGCUAAUGGAAUUUGAAUUGAACUGAUCAAGUAUUUUCUUUAUGCCAAGUUUACAGGGAAAACAUUCUCCGGCUAUGUUCAUACUUUGAGUCUCUACAUCAAUAUUAGGAGUUUGGUGAUAAUGAAGUACUUGCCGAAGCCUAUUGAUAUGGAUUGCAUUUAGAUGGAAGCAUGUGUGUCCAUGCCUUCAUAAUAAUAGUGAUGACUUUGAAUGUAAAAACUUCAAAAUUAUUAGAAGUUUAGUCUUUUGGAUAUGUUGUUAUAAUUUGGAUUAUGUAUAUUAUGUUUAUGAUUGAGCAAUUUAUGUUUUGUAUCGGACAAGUAAAUAUGUAAUUUCUUACAAGUUGAAUGAAAAUUGAUGAUUAUUACAUGAA